GUCUAUGGCCAUACCACCCUGAAUGCUCCCCAUCUCAUCUGAUCUUGGAAGCUAAGUAGGGUCAGGCCUGCUUAGUACUUGGAUAGGAGAAUGAAUGUAGAUAUCACAAGGUGUGUAUUGAAC
ensembl:rRNA 5S_rRNA 5S ribosomal RNA